CAUGACUCUUCCAUCCCCUGUCACUGCCUUCCCCAUGACAAUUAUUUUCUGUAGAAGGAUUACUCAUGUUUACUGGUGCUAAAGAAAUCAAGCUGAUUUAACAGUCCUGAAACACAACAGUGACAUUCACAUCAAAGGAUUUCUGUAUGAACAAAGAGAGCAGCAGGCCAGCCAAAAAGAGUUUACUUAAAGCCUUUAUCAAGCCCUCUCCUCCCAUAUACUUGAGACCAGGAAGACCGCGUAAAAAGGAUUAG
rnacentral:lncRNA from 1 species